rnacentral:lncRNA from 1 species
UCCUGAUUUAUUCUUAAUUCUCUCUGAACAUGAAAAUGAGAAUUUAUGCUGUUUUUCAAGUGCAAAAGCUUCACAGAAAAAUUCAUUGAUUUAAUUUGAGCUCACAUCUUCUAUAAAUCUUGCUGAUAUCAUAAGUAAUGAUUUCUUGUUUAUAUUGAAUAAUGAUUUCUAAUUUAUAUGAGGUAAUCUUUCAUGCCACCUUCAUAGGUUUGAACAAGUCAUGUCAUGACCUGUUCAAACCUAGGACAUUUGAUUCAACUUGGAGUGAUGAACUCCAAGUUGAAUCAAAUGUCAGCCUUGAAUGCUCUUCAGGCAUCAAAUAUACGUCAUUCGAAUCACACAAUCCAAUUGUUACUAAUUUGUUAUUUUGGAAAAUUUCCAUUCACUUAUCCUCUUUUACUAUUUUCAUUCCCUUUUUGGUUAGAAUACUUUCUGAGAAUAGAUUCUUCUUUAAUAUGGG